UCUGAAAUGAUUAGCUCUAAGCAGUCCUGACAUUGAUCGGUGGUUAUGAAAAGAAAUGAGCAAAAUCGCUCAUAACCAAAAGGCUCAUUUCUGCAGAAGUUCACUGCUCAGUACACCCAAUCGGCAGCCCCCCGGGGAGGAGAAGAGCAAAGACGAGGUCUGCAAUGCAGUGGCCACUGGGUGAUCAGACCCUCCAGAGGGCUGUCGGAGCUGAUCUGGUGUCCAGAUAAACGUGGCAUUCAUGCUAGCCAUCUGUCCACAGUAUCAGCGGAAUAAAUACCUUUCAAAGCCAAAUACUAUCAAAGAGCUAUUAAAUCCCAUGGCAAGUUGCAACACCGAGCCUACCAGAAACAUCCAUUUAACUGAAUUCUGCAGCAAAUCAGCUGAAAUCUCUCCCAUCUACAGCUUCCAGAAUCCUUGACUUUGUACGUUGUGAAGAAAAUUGUAGUAUUGACUAUUUGCCAGUGUUUGAACAAACCGACUGCUAGCUCUUGGAAUUUUGGACAGAUUAUAACAGGGGCUCAGAACAAAAUCUCUAGCAUCUUUUUAACCUCCAGAACAGAAGGUAUUCAGGCCUGGAUGCUUUAAAUCACUCACAAUGACUGUGAAUGCUUACAUCAGGACCCGUUCCAAGGACCAGAACUAGAAAAAUAUAUGGGUCUCAUUAUUCUGGAGAGGUAAAGGCUCUUAACUACAAAGGGCCGAGACCUGGCAGCUGGGCAUCACCGUGCUGGCCUACUUCAAAGCAGCCCCUUCCCACUGGGCACAUAUGCACGGGCAGGUACACGCGUGUGCCUCAUGGCACAAAGCAAGCAUGGACUGCCAGGCUGGAUGCAGAUAAAUAAACAAAAUGUAC
rnacentral:lncRNA from 1 species